rnacentral:rRNA from 1 species
CCUACGGGGGGCAGCAGUGGGGAAUAUUGGACAAUGGGGGGAACCCUGAUCCAGCGACGCCGCGUGAGUGAAGAAGUAUUUCGGUAUGUAAAGCUCUAUCAGCAGGGAAGAAAAUGACGGUACCUGACUAAGAAGCCCCGUCUAACUACGUGCCAGCAGCCGCGGCAAUACGUAGGGGGCAAGCGUUAUCCGGAUUUACUGGGCGUAAAGGGAGCGUAGGCGGUUCAGCAAGUCUGAUGGGAAAGGUCGGGGCCCAACCCCGGGACUGCAGUGGAAACCCGUGGACUGGAGUACGGGAGAGGUAAGCGGAAUGCCGAGUGUAGCGGUGAAAUGCGUAGAUAUUGGGAGGAACACCAGUGGCGAAGGCGGCGUACUGGACUGAAACUGACGUUGAGGCACGAAAGCGUGGGGAGCGAACAGGAUUAGAUACCCCAGUAGUC